rnacentral:lncRNA from 1 species
GUGCCCAUUCACCAAUUAUCUGUAAUUCUCUUUUUCCUUUCCUUGCCCUACUGUAACUAAAAGCAUCCUCAGGUGCAAACACCCUGACUGCAGAUGACCAUGGACCUGUAGCUGACCAAACACAGCAGGAACCAGCAGAGUGUGUGAGCCUUGCCUCUGAGGAGACCAACCCGGGCGAGCAGCUGCCGGGAGAGGAGACUUCGGCCACGACCCGGAGCGUGGAGGGGAAGACAGAGUCGGUCAGUAGAAGGGAGGAGCCAGAGGGCACCGAGCCCCUGCCUGCAGGAGAGGAGGAGAGCUCUGAGCUGCCCUCUGUGUGGCGAGAGGAGAGCACGGGGCCUUCACCGCCAGCGCCAGGACAAGAUGCUGGGGCACCAUCUCCAGAACCAGCAGAGGACAGUGGGCUGGUAGAGGGCAGUGACAGCUCUGUAGAGGAAGUCAUCAAGAAAGUACAUAUUACUGAAGAGGACCACCUCAUUGAGGGUGAGACGGGAGAACAGGUGGAAACUGAGCUGCUCAGUGAGACAGUAAGUGAAGGGCCUGAAACAAAAGAAGAAGAAACAGGAGAAGCUGUGGAUAGUGCAGCAGCGACAGAGAUAGAGACAGCUAAUAACAAGGAAUAGAAGUUGUGUCUCAAUGAACAUCCUCUUCUUGGGCCUGCUCUUUUGUUCACAUGAAUAUUUAUAAAUCUAAUUGGGUUAGGAAAAUAUAAAGGCUUUUAUGGAUUGAACCACAAGCUACAGACACAUGAAUAGGAGGCAUUGGAAAAAGUUUUAUAUAAUACAGAUUUUUUGAAGUCAAGCAGCCAAGACCUUGAGUGUCUUUGAAAUAUCCAAACUUUCAUCUCCCUGCCAGAGUGCCUUCUUUACAUACCAGGAUAAUUUUUCAACAGCAGUAUGAUCAUUCCUUUUUCAAUUAGGAUUUUUUCCCAGAUUCAGAUUAACAGGCUUCAAACUGUUGAAACCUCCAACCAACAUUACAUAGAAUGAGGAAUAGAGUGUAGCUUUUUUCUCUUCAAUUAUUGUAUGUAGGCGGGUUUUCUGAGUGUCUGGACUACCAGUGUAGGGAGCUGCUGAAGUGUACAGCUCCUAGAGGACUGGGAGAGGAAAUUUACCAAGCUCUAACUCAAUGCAGAGGGGAGUUUUCCAGAAAAUAGGACAUAACAGAGUGCAGUGUCCAGGACCCAGAUGUGUGCUGCUCACUCCCCAUUUUAAAACUCAAAUUUAUUGAAGGGAUUGUAGUACAAUACAUGGGGCAUUUUUAACUGAGUGGGAGGUUUUAGUUGUAUAAAUCCUAGAAGAGAACUUCACAGCUGUUAACAUUCAUGGCCAAUAAUAACUUGUCUUUAGCUGUGAAGCUCUUCUCAUAUGCAUUUGUGGCUUCUAAAAUGGACUUCUAAGAGAGAAAAUACAAACCUGUCUAAGAGACAAAUAUAAGCCUGUUCCCAAAUAAAAGGUUAUCUAUUAUAUUUCCCUGGAGUGUU